rnacentral:tRNA from 1 species
UCCUCGUUAGUAUAGUGGUGAGUAUCCCCGCCUGUCACGCGGGAGACCAGGGUUCGAUUUCCCGACGGGGAG